rnacentral:rRNA from 1 species
GCUGGCGGCAUGCCUAACACAUGCAAGUCGAACGGUAACAGGUCUUCGGAUGCUGACGAGUGGCGGACGGGUGAGUAAUGCGUAGGAAUCUGUCUUUUAGUGGGGGACAACCCAGGGAAACUUGGGCUAAUACCGCAUGAGCCCUGAGGGGGAAAGCGGGGGAUCUUCGGACCUCGCGCUAAGAGAGGAGCCUACGUCCGAUUAGCUAGUUGGCGGGGUAAAGGCCCACCAAGGCGACGAUCGGUAGCUGGUCUGAGAGGACGACCAGCCACACUGGGACUGAGACACGGCCCAGACUCCUACGGGAGGCAGCAGUGGGGAAUUUUUCGCAAUGGGGGCAACCCUGACGAAGCAAUGCCGCGUGGAUGAAGAAGGCCUUCGGGUUGUAAAGUCCUUUCGUGGAGGACGAAAAGGCGGGUUCUAAUACAAUCUGCUGUUGACGUGAAUCCAAGAAGAAGCACCGGCUAACUCCGUGCCAG